GCGUUAAGUUGCAGGGUAUAGACCCGAAACCCGGUGAUCUAGCCAUGGGCAGGUUGAAGGUUGGGUAACACUAACUGGAGGACCGAACCGACUAAUGUUGAAAAAUUAGCGGAUGACCUGUGGCUGGGGGUGAAAGGCCAAUCAAACCGGGAGAUAGCUGGUUCUCCCCGAAAGCUAUUUAGGUAGCGCCUCGUGAAUUCAUCUCCGGGGGUAGAGCACUGUUUCGGCUAGGGGGCCAUCCCGGCUUACCAACCCGAUGCAAACUGCGAAUACCGGAGAAUGUUAUCACGGGAGACACACGGCGGGUGCUAACGUCCGUCGUGAAGAGGGAAACAACCCAGACCGCCAGCUAAGGUCCCAAAGUCAUGGUUAAGUGGGAAACGAUGUGGGAAGGCCCAGACAGCCAGGAUGUUGGCUUAGAAGCAGCCAUCAUUUAAAGAAAGCGUAAUAGCUCACUGGUCGAGUCGGCCUGCGCGGAAGAUGUAACGGGGCUAAACCAUGCACCGAAGCUGCGGCAGCGACACUGUGUGUUGUUGGGUAGGGGAGCGU
rnacentral:rRNA from 1 species